CCGCCCCAAACUCAGGGAUAACAUCUAGAAAUAGGUGCUAAUACCGGAUAGUCCCGCAAGGGUAAAGAUUUUUCGGUUUGGGAGGGGCCUGCGUACUAUCAGCUAGUUGGUAAGGUAAUGGCUUACCAAGGCUAUGACGGUUAACUGGUCUGAGAGGAUGAUCAGUCGCGAUGGGACUGAGACACGGCCCAUACUCCUACGGGAGGCAGCAGUAAGGAAUCUUCCACAAUGGACGAAAGUCUGAUGGAGCAACACCGCGUGAUCGAUGAAGCCUUUAGGGGUGUAAAGACCUUUUCUGAGAGAAGAACUCUGACGGUAUCUUAGGAAUAAGCACCGGCUAACUCCGUGCCAGCAGCCGCGGUAAUACGGAGGGUGCAAGCGUUACCCGGAAUCAUUGGGCGUAUAGCGUCCGCAGGCGGUUUGUUAAGUAAGAUGUUAAAUUUUCCAGCUCAACUGGAAAUCUAUGUCUUAAACUGGCAAACUAGAGUAUUACAGAGGUGUGCAGAAUUCUGUGUGUAGGGGUAAAAUCCGUAGAUACACAGAGGAAUACCAAAAGCGAAGGCAGCACACUGGGUAAUUACUGACGCUCAGGGACGAAAGCGUGGGGAGCGAACGGGAUUAGAUACCCCGGUAGUCCACGCCGUAAACGAUGGAUACUAGGUGUUGGGAGACUCGACCCUUCCGGUGCCGAUGCUAACGCAUUAAGUAUCCCGCCUGGGAAGUACGGUCGCAAGAUUAAAACUCAAAGGAAUAGACGGGGACCCACACAAGCGGUGGAGCAUGUGGUUUAAUUCGAUGAUAAGCGAGGAACCUUACCCAGACUUGACAUCCCGAGAAUUUUCCAGAAAUGGAAAAGUGCCGCAAGGAACUCGGUGACAGGUGCUGCAUGGUUGUCGUCAGCUCGUGCCUUGAGGUGUUCGGUUAAGUCCGUGAACGAGCGCAACCCUUGUCUUGUGUUGUAUGUUUCACAAGAGACUGCCGACUUUAAGUCGGAGGAAGGUAAGGAUGACGUCAAAUCAGCAUGGCCCUUAUGUCUGGGGCUACACACGUGCUACAAUGGCCAGUACAGAGGGCAGCAAACCCGCAAGGGGGAGCCAAUCCUUAAAACUGGUCCAAGUUCGAAUUGAGGGCUGCAAUUC
rnacentral:rRNA from 1 species